GACGAACGCUGGCGGCGUGCUUAACACAUGCAAGUCGAACGGAAAGGCCUGUCCUUCCUUGUGUUGGACGGGUACUCGAGUGGCGAACGGGUGAGUAACACGUGAGUGAUCUGCCCCCAACUUGGGUAUAAGCCUGGGAAACUGGGUCUAAUUCCCGAUAGGACUGCAGGGUGGUGCCUGUGGUGGAAAACGAUUUUCUAGUGGUUGGGGAUGAGCUCGCGGCCUAUCAGCUUGUUGGUGGGGUAAUGGCCUACCAAGGCGGCGACGGGUAGCCGGCCUGAGAGGGUGGACGGCCACAUUGGGACUGAGAUACGGCCCAGACUCCUACGGGAGGCAGCAGUGGGGAAUAUUGCACAAUGGGCGGAAGCCUGAGGCAGCGACGCCGCGUGGGGGAUGACGGCCUUCGGGUUGUAAACUCCUUUCGACCGCGAGGAAGCCGCCUGGUUGGAAGGGUGGUGACGGUAGUGGGAGAAGAAGCACCGGCUAACUACGUG
rnacentral:rRNA from 1 species